CGGGCUCCGGUGCGCUCGGCCAAUGAGAAGGGGCGAUGGAGAGCGGGGGCGGGAGGGGUGCGCGCAGAGGAGAGGAGAGCUACGCAGGGAGGAAUGGGCCCGGGGCCGGGAGGGUGGAGGGGCGAGGUGCGGCGAAGGCCGGGCGAGGGGGGACCACGUGGCUUGGGGGAGAGCGUAGGAAAGGAAGGAGGAGUCGACGGGAGGCCCGGCCGGGAAAGAGAAGGCGAGCCCGGGAAGGGACCGGAACAAGUGGGAACUUCGGAAGAGCUGACGGUCCUUUGAUGAUGCCACUUCUUGAGAAUUUCGUUUUAGAAAGUUGAAGAAGCUGCUUGGCCGCGAAAUACUAACUUCUGGAAAGCGGGGACCUGACACAGUAAUAUAAUGUAAUUCUUUUGCGGAAAAAAUGAACUCCAAGGAUACCAUCUUUAUGAGAAACAUUGUUACCAGAGGCAAAAAUAAAACAAGCUACAAAAGAACGUACUUAAUAUUCCAGUAAAGAGUAUGGGAAAGUGUUUUAAGAUACAUUUAAAUAUAAUAACACCUCACAGUGCUGUGCGAAGUAGUUAGCAGCACCUUCAGUCAGAAGCAAAAGCAGGCGUUGGAUGUGUUUCUGUAAGUCGAGGUAGUAAGGGGAAAGCCUACAAACUCCUUUGGGAUCGCUUCUGGUUCUUUCGGGUCAGAACAAAUGCAGAAAAAACGCUUAAAGUGCAAAAGUUUCUUAAACACUUCCAGAGUCAAAGGAGGGAUUUUUUUUUGUUUUUAAGAAAAGGAAGCCGUGUGUUUAAAAAGUAUAAACGGCAGAGUUGCCUCUGAAAAAUGAAAUGAAGAUAGGUGCAAUAUUAUAGGAGUCAGCUGAAGAUGUUUUAAUGGGAGGAAAGCCUUUUUUUUAAAAAAAGCUUAGAAGUAGGUAAUAUCUUUAAAGUCCUCAGUACUUUGCAUACUUUCCACUAGGACUGUGGCAAACAAACUACCGGGAAAUAAUUUACGCUAAAGAUUAACUUGAAUGUAAGUUGAACGCAGAUCUUAAAAUACAGAUGAAGUUCGUUAUAAAUUUGUAUUCUGCCCAAACAACCAUUUAAUUAAAGUAUUGUAUGUGCAUGCAACUUUAGGGUGAGAUGCGAGUUGUAAAGCUGGAAUAUGUGUUUUCCACCAUCAUUGUCUUGGAUUCAAGAAAGAAACUUACUAGUGAAUUUUUUUUCCUCAUUGAGUUUAUUGGUACGUUUUAGGUAUACAGUACAGUUACAUUCAUCAUUGGGAAUGAAUUAUUUUUUAACAGGAACUUAUUGUGUAAGCACGCAAGUAUGGAUGAAUAUUUUGUACUUCUUGAAAUAAAUUUCAUGAUGAAGUUUAUAGAAUUGUCUAUGGUUAUAUAUUUUUGUGUCGCUCAGAUACAACUAAUUGUAUUUGAGGAGUAAACAGCCCGAAAUUCUCUGUGCAGAAAAUUAAAAUGAGUUUGAUCAGUGUUACUGAGAGAGGUGCAACACAAGUAGGCAAUAACCACAUCUUGUAAUUUUAUUUGUUUAAUGCCUGAGUGAAGUCUGUCAUCCUCCCCAGACAGUAAGCUAUUUGAAGUCAAAGAGAAAGGGUAUUUGUUUUCGCUACUGAAUACUUAAUGCUCAGUAGUACUUGCCACAUGAUAUGUACUCGGUGGCUAUUUGUCAAGCACCAGAAAAUGGAAGCUUUUUCAAGUGUAUGUCCCUGAAAUUGAAAAACAAGCCAACACUUCUUUUUAAAAAUGUGUAGAUUGAGUUGUUACUCCUUUAAAUCACUGAAUUUUAUCGAAGAAUACAAAUGUCAUGCUCAUUCUAGGGUUAAAAUGUAAGGAAUAAACAUGUUUCAGGGCAGAGCCUUCUACAUGUUUAAAAGUAAAGUGAUACAUUUUGUAAAGACAAUUAUCCUUAAUUAUAAUUUGUAGGUAAUCUUGUUUGCUGGCCUAAAUUCUUCAGUUGAAAUUGUUGCUGCUCACUUGCCAACAGAUUUACAUGUUCAAUGCUUCCAGUUCUCCUAAGAUAGAAGAUACGUAAUUUAUCAAAAGGAUUAAGAAGUUUUUCAGGAAAUUGCUAAUAGCUCUAAAUGCAGCUUGGUCAACUAAUUGGCAAGAUAUGGUAGAAUUAACCCUGGUUAGGAGGUUUUAUUUGUUUUUUUGAGACAGUCUCACUGUGUAAUUCAGGGAGGCCUUGAACUGCAAGUCAUUCUUCUUCCUUAGCUUCCCAAGGUGUAAACCACCAUACCUCGCACGAUUUUAGAAAUUUAAGUUGUCUGACUGAGGAAAUAGUAAAACACAGAAUCCUUAAUAAGGCUGCUAUGGCAAAUUGCUGUACACUAGGUAGCAGCUAACAUCUCAGUUCUGUAGGAUAUGAAGUCCAUAUCAAGGUGCUAGCAAAUUUCAUAUCGACUGAGGGCUAGCUUCCUGGUUUGCAGAGAGCUGUCUUUGUAUUUUCCUAUGGCAGAAAGCAACCAGAGAGGGAAAGCUCUCUCGUCUCAAUCUUCAAGAACAAAUUAACUCCUAAAGGUCUUACCUCUUAAUUUUAUCACUUUGGGGAGUAGGAUUUCAAGAGGAAUUUGGGGGAACACAGUCUGUAAGAAACAGAAUAACCAAAUACAUAGUUGUGACCAUUGUAAAACCUAUUAUGCUUAGGAGACCUACUUCAAAUAUGUUGUUCGGUUUUAGGUAACUUCAUAUCGUGACUUAUUUUUGGCCUAUGGAAAAUAUCAUGGAGAUACUUACAUUCAGUGAAUCACAAUGUUCUCUUAGCGUCCUGAAUAAAGAAACUUUCAGUUUUGCAACAGAUCUGUAAGGGAAUUUAUAAACUCAUACAUAGGGCUUGGAUUGGUAAAAUGUAUCUCAAAAAGAAACAUAAUUGUUAAUUAUUUCACUUAAUCAGUUUAUUCUUACAAUACAUACAUUAAAUUGAAAAUUGGGAUCCCUUUAUGUAUAGAUUUUAUGGUCUCUACUGCUUUGGGAAUACUUUGGAUUAUGUGUGAUUUCAGCAAAUUGUACUGGCUGAAAAAGAAAUUGAGUAGCCAAAUCUUACUAAAAUGGAAUUUGUGUUUGUUAUAGUUGGGCUGGUUCCUUUCUGACAGAAAAUCAAACCUUUGGAAUAUAGUUUGUCCCCCAAAUGUUUAUGUAUUCAUAGCUUUGUCCCUAGUGUGGUGAUGUUGAGAGACCUUUAGGAGGUAGGUCAUAGCAGGAAUUGAUUAGGUCACUCCCAGAGGAGGUUAAGGUAGUUCACCUAGAAGCCUGAGCUAAUUCUUAAGAGACAGUUCUAAAAAGAGCAAACCUAGCCUCCCUCCAACCUUUGGCUGUCUUGCUAUGUCAUCUUUCCCUCAUGCAUAUUCAUAACCCCAUCUGCCACAAUUUGAUGCAAGGGGUGGGGCUCAUUAGAACCAUCGCUGUGCUGUUUAGACUUGCAGCCUACAAAACUAUGUGCUAAAUAAACCUAUUUUCCUCAAAAGCGACCCUGCCUCAAGUGUUUCACUGUAGUAACAACAUGGAC
ensembl:lincRNA